CUGCCUCCACAUUCCUCAUCCCUACAGGGCUGGAUUUCUGGGAGAUGGAGAUCUUAGAGUAUGUAAAUUGCUGCAGCACAGCCCUGCACAGCCUUACAGGACUCAAGACCUGGAAAUUGAGAGCCACACAUGAAAUGUGAAGUACAGGACAGCUUCAGAUGUCAUAUUAGGGCAGGGACUCUGGCUGGUAUACUUGCAUAUACAGCAGAACUACUCCAUAUAAAGAAGUCCUCAUCUGAGUGCUCCAUCAGAGGCUUCUGGGGGAAGG